GAUGAACGCUGGCGGUAUGCUUAACACAUGCAAGUCGAACGGACUCUUCGGAGUUAGUGGCGGACGGGUGAGUAACGCGUGAGAAUCUGGCUUUGGGUUCGGGACAACCACUGGAAGCGGUGGCUAAUACCGGAUGUGCCGAGAGGUAAAAGAGAAAUUGCCUGAAGAUGAGCUCGCGUCUGAUUAGCUAGUUGGUGAGGUAAAGGCUCACCAAGGCAGCGAUCAGUAGCUGGUCUGAGAGGAUGACCAGCCACACUGGGACUGAGACACGGCCCAGACUCCUACGGGAGGCAGCAGUGGGGAAUUUUCCGCAAUGGGCGAAAGCCUGACGGAGCAAUACCGCGUGAGGGAAGAAGGCUCUUGGGUUGUAAAACACUUUUCUUAGGGAAGAACAAAAUGACGGUACCUAAGGAAUCAGCAUCGGCUAACUCCG
rnacentral:rRNA from 1 species